rnacentral:piRNA from 1 species
UGGGUCCACAUUGCCUUUAUGAGCUGU